ACACAAUUCCUCCAUACCUUUACAGUACAGCCAUAGUGCUUAAAAGGACAGUCUUGUUCAGCUUCAGGACACACGGCCAGGUGUUCAUCCACCUGUGAAAUAGACAGUCUCAGGCUGUAGAAAUGCACCCUGACCCUCCAGCUACCUGGUAUAACUGCAGUCAGCAGGGAGCCAAGGGUGGCUUAGGGAGAAGACAGGAAACAGAAGGAAAAAACGCCAAGCUGAAGCUGGGGCCAGGAGAGCUAACAUGGAAACAGAGAAUCCUCAGGGAGAAGAAUUCUCAGGGAGAAGGUGAGGGAAGACAAAACCAUGGCCAUCAUGAGGAUAAGAUUGAUGACUACCACAUCCUUUUUGCAAUAAAUGCAUUUUUCCUCUCGAAACUGGCAGAAUGCGCUCAGAUGCUCUUUCAGAUCUUUGCGAAGGACUGGCUCCUGACAGUUUUCAUUAGAGCACUGCACAGGCUGGAACAGGCAGUGCUGAAGGUGGUCCUGCAACAGUAAUGACAGUGACAGCUAAAAUCUACAUCUUCUCCAAAGUUCACCGAUGCUACCCCUCGGCUGUCACCAAAACAGUCAACAUUCCUCAAGACUCUGCAUCCUGUGAAAUCCUACAGCUUACCACACAAGUGACGGAGAACAGGGAGUAAGAGGAAAUAUUAACACGAAAGAAACAGGUGAAGAGAAAACCAGCUGCUAUCCUCCAGAAGCUGAUGAUCUGGUCACGAGAGCUAACCUCAUUUCCUUCUCAGGCUUAGGGACAACCAAGUUGGCCAAGAAACCCUACUAUCGGACCUGACUAUCAAAACAAGUGGUGAGGGACUGUCUCAGGAAAACACAAAAACCUUUCCUGAACGUCCAAAGAAAUUCUUGGGUUAACAAGGAAAUCAUCUACACAUUUCUGAGCUCAGUGCCUGGGGGUUUGGAGGAGUGCUGGGGAAAGGACUGAAUCACUAGA